GUAGUAUUCCCUCCGUCCAAAAAUUCUUGUCUUCCAUUUGUUUAGAUACGGAUGUACCUAACACUAUAGAUACAUCCGUAUUUAGACAAAUUUAAGACAAGAAUUUUGGGACGGAGGGAGUACAAA
rfam:Triticum aestivum genome assembly, contig: Triticum_aestivum_CS42_TGACv1_scaffold_226125_3B